UGAUUGUUCACUUUCCGUUUCCACUACUGGAACAAAAUAGCUGACACUCACAACUUAAAGGAGGUGAAGUUUAUUUUGGCUCACAGUUUCAGCCCAUACCUGACUGGCUCCAAGACCAAAACAGGAUGGCAAAGGAACAUGGCAGGGAAGAAGUACUCGACCCAAGGCAUCCAGAAAGCAGAGAGAGACAGGAGGAGCCAGGGAUAAGAAUGGACAAGAUCACUUUUACAGGUGAUUCCCCAUUGAUCCCCUCCAACCAGUUCUCACCUCCUAACAGCUCAGUGAGCUUUGAUUUCAUCAGUGAAGGCAUCUGUUGAUGAGUAUAGCACCACCAUGAUCCAAUCACCCUUCAAACACAUGAGGCUUUGAGGGACAUUUUUUAUAUAAACCGUAACAACUGCUAAGUGACUGACAGCAACAGGAGCUGGGAACAGUACCAAGCCGAGCCUGCUCUUCUGACCUCACGAUUUAGCAUGCACAGUGGAACUUCUGCAUCCCUCAAUGCCUCCAGUGACAAGGGGAAGACAGACUCAAAGGGGAGCCAGAACACCAUUCUACUGCAUCAUCUCGUUGUGCAAGGAUAGUGUAGGCAUAGCUGGCAGAGAGCUGGGCUCAGAACUUUGCUGGCAACGAAUACGUCACGUUGGGAAACAGGCUUACGGAGGAAGACAACGUGGUGUCAGCAGAGGAAGGGGGUGACAUGCUCCCCUCCGGUUGAGCGAGAGCAAGCAGAAUGUCUGGAGAGAGCUCCUCAAGCAGGCGUGAGAUGAAAAGAAGAGCUGAGCAGCUGUGCAAAACACAGCACAAAGAAAGGCAAGAAGAGGAGGGAGGAAGGCAGAGAUUCCCCAGAGACCAGAGAAGCAGGCGAUGUAUAAUGAAUCUAUUGACAUGCGCAACACGUGUAGUGCACCCGUAAGAAUUACGAUAGUCCAACAGGCUGAGUAGUGCAAACCUGAACAAUGCGAACAUUAUUUUUUUUUCAUAAGACUGACUAAACACAGUACCACAAACUGGGUGGCUUUGAACAACUGGAAUUAUCUCCUUUGUGGUUCUGGAGGCAGGAAGACUGAGAUCAAGGAGCUGACAGGGCUGGGUCCCCCUGAAGACUGGAAGGAGAGCUCUACUCUGCCUCCCAGACCGUGGCAGCUGCCGGCCAUGCUUAGCUCUCCUUGGCUUGUAGGUGCUGCACUUCGACCUCUGCUUCUGUCUUCUUGUGAUUUUCUUUCCUCUCAGUGUCUGCGUCCAAAUCUCCUGCUUUUUAUGAGAACAACAGUCACUAGUUUAGGGUCCAUCCUUUCAGAACUUGAUUACUUCUGCAAAGAUGCUUUUUCCAAAUAAGGUCACAUUCACAGGCAUCCAGAGAUCGGAACUUGAACAUGACUUUUCAGGGGACUCAGUUCAACCCACAAUAAGGACUUACAAGAAUUGGAGAGGAAGAGAAAGAGAGAUGGAGACAGUAUAAGAAUGCCAGUACCCUGGUCUUACUUUGGAAGGAGACAGGUGAAACUCUGAAAUUGAGAAUAUAGCAG
rnacentral:lncRNA from 1 species